rnacentral:rRNA from 1 species
UACGUAGGGUGCAAGCGUUAAUCGGAAUUACUGGGCGUAAAGCGUGCGCAGGCGGUUUUGUAAGUCUGACGUGAAAUCCCCGGGCUCAACCUGGGAAUUGCGUUGGAGACUGCAAGGCUGGAGUCUGGCAGAGGGGGGUAGAAUUCCACGUGUAGCAGUGAAAUGCGUAGAGAUGUGGAGGAACACCGAUGGCGAAGGCGGCCUUCUGGACCAAUACUGACGCUCAUGCACGAAAGCGUGGGGAGCAAACAGG